ACACGUAUGGGGCGAGCGUUGUUCGGAAUUAUUGGGCGUAAAGGGCACGCAGGCGGAUGAGCAAGUCUGGUGUGGAAGCCCACAGCUUAACUGUGGAGGCGCACUGGAAACUGUUUAUCUAGAGUUCAAGAGGGGAAGCUGGAAUUCCAGGUGUAGGGGUGAAAUCUAUAGAGAUCUGGAAGAACACCAGUGGCGAAGGCGAGCUUCUGGCUAUGAACUGACGCUGAGGUGCGAAAGCGUGGGGAGCGAACAGGAUUAGAUACCCUGGUAGUCCACGCCGUAAACGAUGUGCACUAGGUGUCGGGUCUCAAGACCCGGUGCCGUAGCUAACGCGUUAAGUGCACCGCCUGGGGAGUAUGCCGGCAACGGUGAA
rnacentral:rRNA from 1 species